GAUUAAAGCACCUUCGGGUGUGUAUAAAGUGGCGAACGGCUGAGUAACACGUGGGCAACCUGCCCCUCUCAUUGGGAUAGCCACGGGAAACCGUGGAUAAUACCGAAUACUUCGGGACUUCCGCAUGGAAGACUCGAGAAAGCUCCGGCGGAGAGGGAUGGGCCCGCGGCCUGUUAGCUUGUUGGUGGGGUAACGGCCUACCAAGGCAAUGAUGGGUAGCUGGGUUGAGAGACCGACCAGCCAGAUUGGGACUGAGACACGGCCCAGACUCCUACGGGAGGCAGCAGUGGGGAAUCUUGCACAAUGGGCGAAAGCCUGAUGCAGCGACGCCGCGUGCGGGAUGAAGGCCUUCGGGUUGUAAACCGCUUUCAGCAGGGACGAGGCGAAAGUGGCGGUACCUGCAGAAGAAGCCCCGGCUAACUACGUGCCAGCAGCCGCGGUAAUACGUAGGGGGCAAGCGUUAUCCGGAUUCAUUGGGCGUAAAGCGCUCGUAGGCGGUCUGUUAGGUCGGGAGUUAAAUCCGGGGGCUCAACCCCCGUUCGCUCCCGAUACCGGCAGACUUGAGUUUGGUAGGGGAAGGUGGAGUUCCUAGUGUAGCGGUGGAAUGCGCAGAUAUUAGGAAGAACACCAGUGGCGAAGGCGGCCUUCUGGGCCAUAACUGACGCUGAGGAGCGAAAGCUAGGGGAGCAAACAGGAUUAGAUACCCUGGUAGUCCUAGCCGUAAACGAUGGACACUAGGUGUGGGGGAAUAUUUCUUCCGUGCCGC
rnacentral:rRNA from 1 species